rnacentral:lncRNA from 1 species
CAACAACACAAAGUUGAAGUUCCUGAUUUAAGCAUGGGAUGUAACAUGCAAUUUAAACAGCUGAACCCACAGAUAAUUUAUUGCUAGUUAGCUACAAAGCUAUUCACUAUUCUUCUUCAAGAAGAAAAGAGCAAGUCAAACAUCAAUGGUCCAAGGGAAAAGAUCUAUCUAACAAAUCUGAAAAUGAAUAAUUUCAACUCCAUGAGAAAAAACAUUGAUUUAAUAACAAAAAUAUCUAUUUGGCAUUACCCGGAUAUCCUGGUUAGCUUCUUUUCGCCUUAGCUUGUGGAGAUUGCUGUUGUUGCCUCUCUUCAUGUAUAAUGAAAUAUUAACACCAAAGAAAUGAUUCAGAAGCUCCGGUGGUUGAACUUCUGCUUCACCAGGAUUGCCUGAAGAGAAGCUCCUCCUUCACCUGUGAUAUUUGACAUCUUGAAGAAAACAAAUGAUGAAAAAAGGGAUCAAAAGGUUGGCCAAGGAAAAGAUAAAAAUUUGCCUCUUUCAUUGAUUUUAUUUUCUCUCUCUCUUCUCUUUACCUCCAGCUGUCUUGGUUUGUUUCUCUCUUUCUUGCCUUUCUUUUCCUUUUUUCUUUUUUUGCUGCACUUGGUUCUAUCUUGUUCUUAUCUCUCAAAGGAGUGAUCCUCAUAAAAGUUAAAGAAAGAGAGGAAAAAAAUAAAAUGGAGAAUAAAAACAGAGAAAUCCGGGGAUUUGUUGCGGCUACAGGGAGACAAAGACCAUGAAAUUCACCUUCAUUUCUGGUGGAGGAGAUGGGAGCCGUUUAAUUGCUUGGCACAAGAAGAACGCAACU